rnacentral:tRNA from 1 species
AAAAAAUUAGUUAAUACUUAUAACUUUAGUUUGUCAAACUAAGAUUAUCAUUCUUUUUGAUAUUUUUUA